GCGGCGUGCUAUACAUGCAAGUCGAACGGAGUAUUAAGAGAGCUUGCUCUUUUAAUACUUAGUGGCGCACGGGUGAGUAAUGUAUAGUUAAUCUGCCCUACACUGGAGGACAACAGUUAGAAAUGACUGCUAAUACUCCAUACUCCUUCUUAACAUAAGUUAAGUCGGGAAAGUUUUUC
rnacentral:rRNA from 1 species